rnacentral:rRNA from 1 species
GACGAACGCUGGCGGCGUGCUUAACACAUGCAAGUCGAGCGGUAAGGCCCUUUCGGGGGUACACGAGCGGCGAACGGGUGAGUAACACGUGGGUGACCUGCCCUUAGCUCUGGGAUAAGCCUGGGAAACUGGGUCUAAUACCGGAUAUGACUCCAUGACGCAUGUUGUGGGGUGGAAAGCCUUGUGCGGCUAGGGAUGGGCCCGCGGCCUAUCAGCUUGUUGGUGGGGUGAUGGCCACCAAGGCGACGACGGGUAGCCGGCCUGAGAGGGCGACCGGCCACACUGGGGACUGA